rnacentral:rRNA from 1 species
UGCGGUUAAAACGCUCGUAGUUGGAUAUUCGUUGAGAACUGCCGGUCUACCCCAGUGGUCAGCACACGGUUUGUUCUCGGCACUUUCCUGGGGAGAGUGUUUGCACUUCAUUGUGUGGCACAUGAUCCAGAACUUUUACUUUGAGGAAAUGAGAGUGUUUCAAGCAGGCGCCUGUCGUGAAUACGUUAGCAUGGAAUAAUAGCAUGGGACCGCGGUCUGAAGCUGUUGGUUUUUGGGCCGUGGUAAUGAAAAUAGGGAUAGUUGGGGGUAUUCGUAUUUAACUGUCAGAGGUGAAAUUCUUGGAUUUUUUAAAGACGGACUACUGCGAAAGCAUCUGCCCAGGAUGUUUUUAUUGAUCAAGAACGAAAGUUAGGGGAU